rnacentral:rRNA from 1 species
CAGCAGCCGCGGAAUACAGAGGGUGCGAGCGUUAAUCGGAUUUACUGGGCGUAAAGCGUGCGUAGGCGGCUUCUUAAGUCGGAUGUGAAAUCCCUGAGCUUAACUUAGGAAUUGCAUUCGAUACUGGGAAGCUAGAGUAUGGGAGAGGAUGGUAGAAUUCCAGGUGUAGCGGUGAAAUGCGUAGAGAUCUGGAGGAAUACCGAUGGCGAAGGCAGCCAUCUGGCCUAAUACUGACGCUGAGGUACGAAAGCAUGGGGAGCAAACAGGAUUAGAUACCCCCGUAGUCCCUGUCUCUUAUACC